rnacentral:lncRNA from 1 species
GCUGUUUCUUUUUGGUCGUUCUUUGUAGUUGCUAUCCUUGAAUCAUCUGUUGUUGUAUUGAACUUUGGGUUGUAAGCUGGAGCAUUAUGAUUUAACAAGUGGUUUGAGUUUGCCCCAUAUGGAUUUUUUGCAUUCCAGAUUACAAUUGCAGCCUUUUCUUUAGAAUACAAGUCUUCUGUUGAGCUGUCGUAAUCACCUUCUUGAUCUUCCUCUGCUGACGAAGAACCAGUAGAGCCUUCUUCCCAACUCUCUUCAUCAUCACAUUGUCGUUGGUCCCAAAGUUUCGAUUUAAUUACCAACUCCCUCAUGUUAGCUAAAACUAGUUGUUUGUUCUCUCCAUUGAAUAUUAAAAAAUCUUCGUGAUCCUUGUUCUCUAUAUAUGUAUAGGGAAAGGUAGGAUAACUUUUGACAGUCUGAAUCUUCCCUCCAGCAACCAUUCCCUGUGAUCCUUGUUCUCUAUAUAUCUACAGGGAAAGGUAGGAUAACUUUUGACUGCCUGUAUCUUCCCUCCAGCAACCAUUCCGGAUGAAUUGGAGCUUAAUAUUAGAGCUGUAUUUUCCUCUGCGAUCUGCUUGCUUUGUUUGAAACCAACUGGCUGAUACGAUAUAUUCUCAGUGUGAUCUUUGUCCAGUGCAUCCCUGUUUUUUCCAAUUGUUUGAGCAGGCAUAACAACAUUGUCAACCAUCUGUCUAGACAGCUGCUGCUUAGUCAGUUCUUCAGAUUUCCAGUUCGAUUUCAGUUUUUCAGAUUCUGCAUCAACUGAACCUUAGUUCUGCAUGUUGUUCCGCUGCUGCUUUCCUUCAAAACCAUUCAUCUUCCAAUCUUGUGCAUACUGAUUGUGAACUGGAAGGUCAGUAUGAUUAGUAGCAGGUUCAUUGACCUUAUUGUGUAUCAAAAUAUGUUGUUUAGACAGUAAAGGUUGACUCUUGUUUGCAUUGUGAUGUGCAGCCUCAGCAGAUGAAGCAGCCUAAGCAGAUGCAGUAUAACUUUGAUCCUUCUCAGCAAACUGUCCAUCGUCUUCUCUGGCAAUUGCAAGCGCGACAAAAGAGUUGGAGCUUGAUGCUAUAACUGGACUGUUAUCAGUAAUUUGUGAAUUGACAUUAAUUUCCAAUUUGUCAUUACUGAUUUGCCUCGUUGACCAGUUGUUUCUUUCACUGUUUUGUCCAUUUGCUGUUAAGUUCAAACUAUUUUGUUGAACCAUCUCAGUCUGGAGACUUGAAAUCUGUCGAGAGGAAUUUUGUAAACUGUGAAAAUCUGAAGGAUGUGC